rnacentral:rRNA from 1 species
UACGAAGGGGUGCAAACGUUGCUCGGGAAUCAUUGGGGCGUAAAGCGCACGUAGGCGGCCUCAUAAGUCGGAUGUGAAAUCCCUCGGCUCAACCCGAGGGAAGUGCAUCCCGAAACUGCGAGGCUCGAGUAUGGGAAGAGGGGUCGCAGAAUUCCCGGGUGUAGAGGGUGAAAUUCGUAGAUAUUGGGGAGGAAUACCAGUGGCGAAGGCGGCGACCUGGGCCAAUACUGACGCUGAGGUGCGAAGCGUGGAGCAACAG